rnacentral:rRNA from 11 species
GAACCAUGGUGACAGCGGCGGCGGUGAGACCAGUGUCACCACCGGCAGCCACUUUUUCGCGAAGCUCUCGCAGCUGGCGCUGCAGC